rnacentral:rRNA from 1 species
GUGGGGAAUAUUGGACAAUGGGCGAAAGCCUGAUCCAGCAAUGCCGCGUGAGUGAUGAAGGCCUUAGGGUUGUAAAGCUCUUUUACCCGGGAUGAUAAUGACAGUACCGGGAGAAUAAGCUCCGGCUAACUCCGUGCCAGCAGCCGCGGUAAUACGGAGGGAGCUAGCGUUGUUCGGAAUUACUGGGCGUAAAGCGCACGUAGGCGGCUUUGUAAGUUAGAGGUGAAAGCCUGGAGCUUAACUCCAGCACUGCCUUUAAGACUGCAUCGCUUGAAUCCAGGAGAGGUGAGUGGAAUUCCGAGUGUAGAGGUGAAAUUCGUAGAUAUUCGGAAGAACACCAGUGGCGAAGGCGGCUCACUGGACUGGUAUUGACGCUGAGGUGCGAAAGCGUGGGGAGCAAACAGGAUUAGAAACCCGUGUAGUCC